rnacentral:lncRNA from 12 species
ACACACAUAUCCUGAUCCCUCCUACCUUAGAGGCAUUGUGUACCCUCUCUAGCGGAGUACUUAAAAUGGACUGUCUUUGUUGAUUUUUUUUUGGUGGUGGUGGUGGUUUUAUUUUAUACACUACUGUAUUUCCAGUGCCUGAUAUAUGGUAGGAAAUUAGUAAAUAUUUCUUUAGCGAAAGAGAGGGAAUAAAAACAAGACCAAUAAAUAAUUGUUUACUUUUUUAAACAUCUUAUUUUAUUUGUUUUCAGCAUCCAGCAAGACAUGGUGGUGAACCCUGGCUCUAAGUCUUCAUGAUUAAGCGACUCUUUUGCACAACACAAAGGUUUUUGUAAGAACAUGUCUGAAGACUCAAAGAAAUUCGAUUACAAAGUUGGAAUUGUGGUUCAAGAUAUUCAUUCCACUCUUUGACCUUCUUCUUACAGAUCAGCAAACCUACCGAGCUACAUUAUACUUUCUGACAAUAUACUGCAAGGCAAGUUUCAGUAAAACAACAUGAGGCUCUUGUAUCUCCAAAAUACAAACACAUGGAUGAUUCAAUGAAUAAACAAAAUAGAUUUUUUUUUGUGGCUUCCUGG